rnacentral:rRNA from 1 species
CAGCCGUAAACUAUGCUCGCUAGGUGUCAGGCAUGGCGCGACCGUGUCUGGUGCCGCAGGGAAGCCGUGAAGCGAGCCACCUGGGAAGUACGGCCGCAAGGCUGAAACUUAAAGGAAUUGGCGGGGGGAGCACAACAACGGGUGGAGCCUGCGGUUUAAUUGGACUCAACGCCGGACAACUCACCGGGGACGACAGCAAUAUGUAGGCCAGGCUGAAGACCUUGCCUGAUCGCUGAGAGGAGGUGCAUGGCGUAGACGUCU